rnacentral:rRNA from 1 species
CCAAUAGCGUAUAUUAAAGUUGUUGCAGUUAAAAAGCUCGUAGUUGAAUUUCGGGACCAAUAUGUCGGUCGUACUUUGUACGUACUAGCAUUAUUGGUUUCUCCCUUCUGAAGAACCGCGAUGUCAUUAAUUUGGUGUCGUGGGGAAUCAGGACUGUUACUUUGAAAAAAUUAGAGUGUUUAAAGCAGGCUCGCGCUUGA